GAGAAAGUCUCCUUUUGAGGCCGUGAACUUCGCCGAUCACUUGGCUUUCUUUGAGUGAGUUCCCAUGCCAACUUAGUCUAACCAGCUUCAAAUGUUCACCGGGGCGGCAUUUCCGGACAUAGAAUCCAUGUGUUGGCUUCUGACCGUCAAUGUACUUGUCAGGGUUGUAGGAGGAACCCCACAUUUUUCGCAUGGAGUAUCAUUCUCUCUGCAAACUCUCGGCAAUGCGCGGCGAGAUUGGCAAAGCGGGUUUGAAAUUGAUUAGCAGUAACGGAUAAGCCUUGUAGAUGGAUCCAUUUCUUGAGUAUUAUUGUGGGUUUCUUUGUCAUUUACUUCCUGUUAGUAGUCUCCAUCCGAUGAUGCGGUAUCAAGAUCGAAAGCCUACUUGAGAAAAGACGCUGCGCACCCAAAUCCAAAAUUAUGGACCAGUGACGGAGUUUCUCGUUUCACAAGCAGAGUUAGGUCUGCGAGCCCAGAAGCUGGAAAUUGUGAAGGAGAAGUCCACAGUGUUGAUCCCUUGGGCUGGGUUAAACUCGUCACUUUCUUCACUACUGCUGAACUCUCUCACAGACGUGGUUCCUGCUGAGAAGCUGAAAUGGAAGUACGAUCCACUCUUGGAUUUCGAGGAUGGGGAGGGCAACAUCUAUGGCAGGGGAGCUCAAGACAUGAAGAGUGUUGGCGUACAGUACCUGGAAUCCAUUCGUGUCUUAGAGUCCUCCGGUUACCAGCCCACGCGCUCUGUACAUCUUUCCUAUGUCCCUGAUGAAGGGCUCGGGGCUGAGAGGGGAUGGCUAAACUUGUGUCAUCAUCUGAGUUUCAGCAGCUCAAUGUCGGCAUCUGCUUGGACGAACGACUGGCAUGCGCAGAGGAUUAUUACCGAGUCUUCUUCGGCGAGAGGUCGAACUGGAAGCUUGUAAUGAAAGCUGUGGGUUCACCAGGACCACGAGGGCACCUGCAUCCCGCAAUCCAACUCACAAGUUAACUCUGCUGCAACCACGGCCUUCAAACAGAUUUCAAUUGCCUACAUAUUCUCCCUAAGUUAGAAACCUGAACAUUCUAGCGGUUGGUUUCUGGUCCAUUUCCAACACGCCCCCUCUUUCUCUUUUCCAUGACCACUAUGAGAUUUGCAUUUCAUCUCUUUUAAUUCGAAAGUUGCAUUUUAUGUGGAAGUUGCAUUA